rnacentral:snRNA from 1 species
GUGCUCUCUUCAGGAGCAUAUAUAUUAAAAUUGGAACAAUAGAGAGAAUAUAAGGAUGAGAUUCAAAUUCGAGAAGCAUUCUGGUUUUUU